CAUAUUGCCCAGGCUGGUCUUGAACUUCUGACCUCAGAUUAUCCACCUGCCUUGGCCAGCAAAAGUGCUGGGAUUACAGGUGUGAGCUACUGCACCUGGCCAGUGAUCUGGUUAAGAGUCUGAUAACUCCUCCUUGUCUCUCUCUCAUGCUCCCUCACUUAUCAUAUGAUGUGUUGGCUUCCCCUUUGCCUUCUGCCAUGAUUGUAAACUUCCUGAAGCCCUCACCAGAAGCAGAUGCUGGCCCCAUGCUUCUUGUACAGCCUGCAGAACCGUCAGCCACAAUAACCCACUUUUCUCUAUAAAUUGUGUCGCCUCAGGUAUUUCUAGGAAUGCAAGAAUGGACUAACAGAGUGGACUCAGGUAGACAUGAGACCUCCACCGUGAAAACGACACAGCGUUGCUGAGUGAAACCAAAGGCAUGAAUAAGUAAAGAGUUACACCACGUUCGUAGAUUGAAGACUCUUUGUUAAGAUGUUCCUUCUCUGUGAAAUGAUAUAUAGACUCAACACAACUCUUUAUCAAAAUUCCAGCAGGCUAUUUUGAAGAAAGAGACAAGAAAAAUUUACAGAGAAAUUCAGAGGUUCUAAUAACCAAACAAUAUUGAAAAAGAAGAAGAAGCUUGGAUGAUUUACACUACCUGAUUUUAAAACUCACAGUAAAGCUGUAGUAAUCACAGACGAAUUAAUGGAGUGGAGUAAGGAGUCUAGAAAAACACCCAUGUGUAUAUGGUCAAUUGAUUUUUCCACAGAGAUACCAAGGUAGUUAAAGAGAGAAAAGAAACCUAAUGAUCAUGGCUAUACCAGCAGAUUAUACACACAGAAAACAGCCUCAACCCCUGACUCAUAUACACAAAAAUGAAUUCAAGGUGAUCAGAGACUUAAAUGUAAAUCCCAGAGCCAUAAGGCUUUUAGAAGAAAAACAGGAAAAGAUCCCCAUAACCUUUAGUAGACAGAGAUUCCUUGGUCAAGAUACAAGUACUAUCCAUAAAAGGAAAAAAAAUUCAAUAAAUUGGCCUUCAUCAAAAGUAAAAUUUUCUGUUCAUCAGAAGACUCCAUUAAGAAAAUUGAUAAGCUACAGACUGAGGAAAAAUAUUCGCAUCACAGAAAACUGCUAAAGGACUUGUAUCCAGGAUACUUAGGAACCCCUAAUAAUGCUAAAAAGGCAAUCAUUCCAACUGAAAAUGGGCAAAAGGCUUGAACAGGCAUUUCACAAAAGACGAUAGACACGUUUUGGGAGGCCGAGGCAGGAGGAUCACUUGAGCCCAGGAGUUCAAAACCAGCCUGGCCAACACAAGGAGGCCCCAUCUCUAACCCUCCAAAAAAUGCUUAAAUUCUUUAAAUUAGCUGGGCAUGGUGACAUGUGCCUAUAAUACCAGUCACCUGGGGAGCUGAGCAGGAGAAUUGCAUGAGCCCAGGAGUUGGAGGUUGCAGUAAGCUAUGAUGGCGCCACUGCAUUCCAGUCUGGAUGACAGAAUGAGACCCUCCCUCAAAAAAAUACGUAUAUAUAUACACAGAUGUUUAAUCAGUGAAGGAAAAGGUGCUCAUUAUCAUUAGUCACCAGGGAAAUGUAAAUUAAGCUUGGGAGACAGGAAUGGCUAUUAAGUCAAAAGAAUGACAGCAUCAAACAUCAGCAAGGGUGUGGAACAUCUGGAAUUCUGACAUAAGAAUUACAGCAUCAUGUAUCGGCAAAGAUGUGGAACAUCGGGAAUUCUGACAUAAGAAUGCCAUCAUGUAUCAGCGAAGAUGUGGAACAUCUGGAAUUCUGACAUAAGAAUGACAGCAUCAUGUAUUGGCGAGGAUGUAGAACAUCUGGAAUUCUGACAAUGACCACAUAUCGGCAAGGAUGUGGAACAUCUGGAAUUCUGACAGAAUGACAGCAUUACGUAUCAGUGAUGAUGUGGAACAUCUGGAAUUCUCACAUGAAUGACAACUAUCAGCAAGGAUAUGGAACAUGUGGAAUUCUGACAUAAGAAUGACAAGUAUCAGCGAGGAUGUGGAACAUCUGGAAUUCUGACAGAAUGACAACAUCACGUAUCAGCGAGGAUGUGGAACAUCUGGAAUUCUGACAAGAAUGACAAGUAUCAAUGAGGAUGUGGAACAUCUGGAAUGCUAACAGAAUGACAGCAUCACGUAUCGGCGAGGAUGUGGAACAUCUGGAAUGCUGACAAGAAUGACAGCAUCAUGUAUUGGCGAGGAUGUGGAACAUCUGGAAUUC